CCUACGGGUGGCAGCAGUAAGGAAUAUUGGUCAAUGGACGCAAGUCUGAACCAGCCAUGCCGCGUGAAGGAUGAAGGUCCUCUGGAUUGUAAACUUCUUUUGAUGGGGAAGAAACCCUGGUUUUUUAACUAGGUUGACGGUACCUAUGGAAUAAGCACCGGCUAACUCCGUGCCAGCAGCCGCGGUAAUACGGAGGGUGCAAGCGUUAUCCGGAUUCACUGGGUUUAAAGGGUGCGUAGGCGGGCAGGUAAGUCAGUGGUGAAAUCCCCGAGCUUAACUUGGGAACUGCCAUUGAUACUAUCUGUCUUGAAUGUUGUGGAGGUCAGCGGAAUAUGUCAUGUAGCGGUGAAAUGCUUAGAUAUGACAUAGAACACCGAUUGCGAAGGCAGCUGGCUACACAAAUAUUGACGCUGAGGCACGAAAGCGUGGGGAUCAAACAGGAUUAGAUACCCCAGUAGUC
rnacentral:rRNA from 1 species